rnacentral:rRNA from 1 species
UAGGGAAUAUUAGUAAUGGGCGAAAGCCUGAACUAGCAACGCCGCGUGUGCGAAGAAGGCCUUCGGGUUGUAAAGCACUUUUUGAGAGGAUGAGGAAGGACGGUACUCUCAGAAUAAGUCUCGGUUAACUACGUGCCAGCAGCCGCGGUAACACGUAGGAGGCGAACGUUAUCCGGAUUUACUGGGCGUAAAGCGCGUGUAGGUGGUUUGGUAAGUAGGGCGUGAAAGCUCCUGGCUCAACUGGGAGAGGCCGUUCUAAACUGCCGAGCUAGAGGAUGGUAGAGGGAGGUGGAAUUCCGGGUGUAGCGGUGGAAUGCGCAGAUAUCCGGAGGAACACCAGUGGCGAAAGCGGCCUCCUGGACCACUCCUGACACUCAGACGCGAAAGCUAGGGUAGCAAACGG